AGUAAGUUUAGAUACAAUGAUACAACUUUUUUAUUUGGGUACCUUGAAAGUUGUUGAGUUAAUGGUACAACCGGCUAAAUUAUAA
rnacentral:ncRNA from 1 species